rnacentral:rRNA from 4 species
AAACUUGAGAGUUUGAUCAUGGCUCAGAACGUACGCUGGCGGCACGCCUAACACAUGCAAGUCGAACGAAGUAGCAAUACUUAGUGGCAGACGGGUGAGUAACAUGUAGGUAUCUGCCCUUUGGCCUGGAAUAACACGAGGAAACUUGUGCUAAUACCGGAUAAGUCUUUACGGAGAAAGCUUUAUGCACCAUUGGAUGAGCCUGCACUUGAUUAGUUUGUUGGUGGGGUAAUGGCCUACCAAGACUGUGAUCAAUAGCUGAUUUGAGAGGAUGAUCAGCCACAUUGGGACUGAGACACGGCCCAAACUCCUACGGGAGGCAGCAGUGGGGAAUCUUGCACAAUGGAGGAAACUCUGAUGCAGCGAUGCCGCGUGAGUGAAGAAGGCCCUUGGGUUGUAAAGCUCUUUCGUCGGGGAAGAAAAUGACUGUACCCGAAUAAGAAGGUCCGGCUAACUUCGUGCCAGCAGCCGCGGUAAUACGAAGGGACCUAGCGUAGUUCGGAAUUACUGGGCUUAAAGAGUUCGUAGGUGGUUGAAAAAGUUAGUGGUGAAAUCCCAGAGCUUAACUCUGGAACUGCCAUUAAAACUUUUCAGCUAGAGUAUGAUAGAGGAAAGCAGAAUUUCUAGUGUAGAGGUGAAAUUCGUAGAUAUUAGAAAGAAUACCAAUUGCGAAGGCAGCUUUCUGGAUCAUUACUGACACUGAGGAACGAAAGCAUGGGUAGCGAAGAGGAUUAGAUACCCUCGUAGUCCAUGCCGUAAACGAUGUGUGUUAGACGUUGGAAAUUUAUUUUCAGUGUCGCAGGGAAACCGAUAAACACACCGCCUGGGGAGUACGACCGCAAGGUUAAAACUCAAAUGAAUUGACGGGGACCCGCACAAGUAGUGGAGCAUGUGGUUUAAUUCGAAGAUACGCGCAGAACCUUACCAACACUUGACAUGUUCGUCGCGACUCUAAGAGAUUAGAGUUUUCGGUUCGGCCGGACGAAACACAGGUGCUGCAUGGCUGUCGUCAGCUCGUGUCGUGAGAUGUUGGGUUAAGUCCCGCAACGAGCGCAACCCUCACUUUUAGUUGCCAUCAUUAAGUUGGGCACUCUGAAAGAACUGCCAGUGAUAAGCUGGAGGAAGGUGGGGAUGACGUCAAGUCCUCAUGGCCCUUACGUGUUGGGCUACACACGUGCUACAAUGGUAUCUACAACAGGAAGCAAGACUGCGAAGUUAAGCAAAUCCCUAAAAGAUACCUCAGUUCGGAUUGCACUCUGCAACUCGAGUGCAUGAAGCUGGAAUUACUAGUAAUCGUGGAUCAGCGUGCCACGGUGAAUGCGUUCCCGGGUCUUGUACACACCGCCCGUCACACCAUGGGAGUUGGUUCUACCUUAAGGCAAGGUUUCAAACCCUUGACCACGGUAUAGUCAGCGACUGGGGUGAAGUCGUAACAAGGUAGCCGUAGGGGAACCUGCGGCUGGAUUACCUCCUUU